UACGUAGGGUGCAAGCGUUAAUCGGAAUUACUGGGCGUAAAGCGUGCGCAGGCGGUUUUGUAAGUCUGUCGUGAAAUCCCCGGGCUCAACCUGGGAAUUGCGAUGGAGACUGCAAGGCUAGAAUCUGGCAGAGGGGGGUAGAAUUCCACGUGUAGCAGUGAAAUGCGUAGAGAUGUGGAGGAACACCGAUGGCGAAGGCAGCCCCCUGGGCCAAGAUUGACGCUCAUGCACGAAAGCGUGGGGAGCAAACAGG
rnacentral:rRNA from 1 species